UUUGAAGGUGGAAACCAUGGCAUUGGAGUUGGCAUGAUCUCUCGAAUGCAAAUUGAGAGUGAGGACUACUGUCAUGUGAGAAGAACAAAUGAUCUGGAACAGAUAUCUUUGUCUCAGAGUCAACAGACCACAAAUUUUAUGCUCGAGGAGGAUCAGUACAUGCAAGACUCGGAAGCAGUACUUGAUUGUGCUCAAUCUACUAUGAUAGAUUUGGAGAUCAGGCAGCAGACAAUUGGGUCGCUUAAUAAUAUCCAUUGUUUUGCCCCUGUAGAGGACAAUGGACUGCAACUGCAUGCAGCAGUCGCAAGGGAGAAUAAUGAGGGAUCUAUUCCAAAAGACACUGUAAGCACCCACACUAGAGAUGAGGACUUGUAUGAACUAUUCAAGGAUUUUGACUUUCCAGACUCUACAAACACUAGUCUCGAUACUAUAGCUUUGGAUUUGGGCAGUGAUUGGUUCAGAUCAACGCUACAAGAGCAAGAAGAGACUGUUACUCCCAGUCAGCCAAAUGCCUCAGAAGAUCACUCUAGACGGACUUCUUCUGUAUUGGAGCAUCCGAAUUCCUUCCGAGUGAUGUCUAUCUCUUCAAACCCGAGUCAGAUUCCCUACGAAGGACCUGGUCGUGGUGAUGAGCAAGUUCCUUG
rnacentral:misc_RNA from 1 species